AAAGAAUUAGUUUAAUAUUAAAAACAUUAAAUUGUCAGUUUAAAAAUAUUUUUAUUUUUAUAAAAAUAUUCUUUU
rnacentral:tRNA from 1 species